AAUGAAAUAUGUGCAGUGUCACAUGUUUAUUGUAGAUUGUCACAUGACCAGAGCUGUUUACUUCCUCGUUGCGCCAUGAGAAGACGAUAGCUGCGUCAAAGCUCCCAAACAAAAGUUUCACUUUGAGUCAAGUUCUGGAUAUGUUGGAUCUAGGUGACUGCCCAGACAAGGCAUGCAACAUUGCAGUUAUCCCUCAGAGAUUGUGAUAGCGGUGGGUCAGAUAUGGACUAUGGAGGGGGGACAGGCCAUUUGCCAGCCAGGCUGUUGAAUGUAUAUGCUGAAACUAUGCAAACAGACCAUGACAGGAACAACGUUAUCAGUGAUGAUGACCUACCCCACACUCUCCUCCCUGAGACUGGGUUGGGUCAUGGACCUCAAGGUUGCAAGUUCCUUCGUGACAACCUCUUCACUUCACUUGCACUCCUCAAUGAAAUGACAAAAAGAGGAUAUGGGAGCUCUGGAACGAUGAGGCAAAAUUGUCUGUUUGAUGCCCCAUUCAAGCCACAUAAAGACUUCAUGAAGUUACCUGGGGAACCUCUGAGGUUUUGAGCCAAGGAGACGAGUUGCUGGUCCGUUAGAAAGACAUUAACAUUGUCACAGUGGCAACAAACAUGGAGGAGAAAUACAGUGAGACCUCUGUCAAGAGAUGGAACAAGGAGCGAUGUGCUUUUUGACAAAGUCCUACAACAAAAUGCAUCAACCGAUACAAUGAGCACAUGGGGGGGUGUUGUUCUUCACAACCUACAGGUUUCAAUAUUUCAUAUCUCCAUCAGUUCUAAGAAGUGGUGGUGGCCCAUCUUUGCAUGGUCUCUCAACAGUGCACUCGUUAACAGCCAUUUAUUUUACAGAGAUGUUAUGGGAGGGACAAUCGACCUGCUCACCUUCUCAUGGAUAGUGGCACAGUCUCUUAUGCAAAAGUUUGGCACGAGACCACUGAGCCACGGAAGGAGAUCUCUACUGGCUGCCACUGUUGAAGAUCAGGCAAGAUAUGACAAAGCUUCUCACUGGCCAAUCAACACGAUGCACCGGUUCCAGAGAUGUCGUCAUUGUGACAAACGCACUACCUAUGCAUGUGAGAAAUGCAAAGCGCCACUGCACAUUGAGUGCUUCAAGAUAUACCACGGACAGUAGAAAAGGCGUUAAGAGUGAAUGAAAAAGGGCUGAAAAACCCAAUAAAAAAACAAUUGUGAAAAGUCAAUAAAGGGUGAGGAGAAGCAGUACCACGGACUCUAGGAAGAAAAGAAAAGUCAAUGAAAAAGGGAAUCAAUUGAUUCAAGACCUACUGUAUGAAAGUAGGUCUGACUGAUUGUAGUUCAAAAUAGUGAUGCACAAACUAACUGUGCAAUUGGUUCUGAAGCCUACCUCUAUCAUAUAGAUAUACAUGUGUAUAUGUAUGUAUAGGAGACGGAACGUGUCUCCUUCCUGAGCGGUAUGACGGCUGCGUGGUCCCAUGGUGUUUAUACUUGCAUACUAUUGUUUGAACAGAUGAACAUGCUACCUUCAGGCGUUUUUUAUUUAUUUGUUUUACCUUUAUUUAACCAGGCAAGUCAGUUAAUUAAGAACACAUUCUUAUUUUCAAUGACGGCCUGGGAACAGUGGGUUAACUGCCUGUUCAGGGGCAGAACAAGAGAUUUUUACCUUAUCAGCUCGGGGGUUUGAACUCGCAACCUUCCGGUUACUAGUCCAACGCUCUAACCACUAGGCUACGCUGCAGCACCGUAUAUAGGCAGCGUAGGUUUGGAAAUUGCUCCCAAGGAUGAACCAGACUUGUGCAGGUCAACAAUUUUUUUUUCUGAGGUCUUGGCUGAUUUCUUUUGAUUUUCCCAUGAUGUAAAGCAGUUGAGUGUAUGUAAACUUCUGACCCACUGGGAAUGUGAUGAAAGAAAUAAAAGCUGAAAUAAAUAAUUCUCUCUACUAUUAUAAUGACAUUUCACGUUCUUAAAAUAAAGUGAUGAUACUAACUGACCUAAGACAGGUCAUUUUUACUAGGAUUUAAUGUCAGGAAUUGUGAAAAACUGAGUUUAAAUGUAUUUGGCUAAGGUGUAUGUAAACUUCUGACUUCAACUGUAAAUCAUUGGUCCUGACCACAAUUUAAGGUGGUCAGGACCCCCCCCCCAAAAAAAGAACAUUUGGGUGAUGAGUCAUUGGAUAACACAUUGAGAUGGGAAGGUCUUGGCUUUUGAAAUUGCAAGGCAUCUACCUCUGUAAUAAUCCUUGUAGGUUACUCAUAAUCCUACACUAAGGUGAAGACUGAGUGUUCUGUAUUCAUCAAAAGCUGUUAACAUAAUGUGCGUGUGCACACCCAGAGUUAAUGAAGGUUCUGCCCUCAAGGUUUGGAGAGGGCAGAGAAACAUCUCUGUAUUUAUCAAGGAAUUGGACCACAUAGCUCCAUCUGAUGCCAAGCAUGCACUGCCGACAUUGUAAAACAACACCUGAAACAUCAUGCAUGUUACCAGAAAGAAAAAAAAAGUUGUUGCUGUGGCCUUGCAUAGGGAAACCAUAAGAACGAUUAACAUGAAGGGAAUCAGCAACCUACGCAGGUUUUGGGGGGUUUACUAGGCCUAUAAACUACUGCCAAUACACACACUUGUUAUUGUGAAAACUGUCCUCAACCCGGACUGUCUAAAUCCGGGACACUCCAUUUAGUAUGAUAUGUUAUAUUUCAUAUGGUAUGUAUUCAUUUGUGGAUGUGCAUCAUCCAUUUCGGAUGAUAUGUUACAAAUUGCAAUUUGUACAAUGUCACCACAACGUCAUAAAAUUUGUUAUUUUAGUUGAAAAGAAAGAUACAAUUUCUGUAAUUAAGGCAUUUUCUAUGAUUUUUUUUAAAUUUUUUGUAAUAAUAUUUUCGUUACAAUUUGGAAGUUUUCUUAAUUAUAUGUAUUCAUCAUUGUCAUGUCUAAAUGUCCAUAUAUGUCUUGAUGAUACUCAUAAACAUGUUUUUACCACAUCAAAAUCUUUAUAUUUGACAGUAUUUUAGAGAUUAAGAACAAGCAUAUAAGGUUCACAUAUGGGAGAAACCGUAAAUCAAUUUAAUACACUGUUUCCUAAAAAAUAUGUACCCUGAUGGUAAUGACUUAGCAUUGUGGCAAUGACAGUGUCAUGGAAAUAACAUUUCACAUAAAACAUUUUAAUUCAAAAGGGACUUAUUUUGGUGAGCUCUGUGUUUGACCACUUGACCUCUGGUAAUUCUAUCUUGAACUUCUGAUGGAGUUUUGCCAGUGUGUCGUUCAUGUAUCGCUUCUGCAUUUUAUUCUUGUGUCUUGUCAAUCUUUCCUUUUUCCUGUUGAUGCUCGACUGUUACCAUCACGUUCCUAAAAACUUUUUAAAAAAUCUUCUAUGGAUGGGCUGAUUGCAUUCGAAUGUUUCUUUUUUGAGUACCACAGACAAGUUGGCCGUUUGUUGUUUGCCCGCAUUGUCUUCGCAGAGAAUCCAAAUUCUAUUUGCCAUUUUCACCAUGCAAUACUUUUUCAGUAUUUUCCCAGCCAAAACCUUGGAUAUCACUGGUGGGUCUUUUGCACUCGGUUGCUUCUGGUAUUUCUCUCUCAGCUCUGAGAUGAUGGUGUUAUGUUAUUUUUUUCAGAUUCUGUGGAUUUGACCGCAUUUGUUGUUUUGUUUUUGUACCAGAGGAAUCCAAAAUUCUGAUCUUCUCUGACAAUCUAUUAUAUAUAUUUUUAAAUAAUUUCCCUCCGUAUUCUUUCCGCGGCCUUCAACUUCAUAUUGGCCAUACAUAGAUCCUUGUAGACUUUGGAUCUGUUUUUUUACACCUUUUCUACAGCCUCUCUGUCUUGGGGUUUCGGAGUUUGAAUAGGAGGGGGAAUCUAGUGCCAUUUUAAGGGGCAGAUAGGUCAUCAUUCUGUAGCUGUAAGACUUCCUGUGAGUGUGGUGGUGUGUUCCUUGACAGGUGUGACUCCAUAACCAUUCCUCUCUGGAUAGUUGAUCUGUUGUUUCUUUGGUUCAUUUUCCAUUGCCUCCUUUUUCUACCCUUUUUUUCUCACUGGGAAAGUUGUGAGAUUGGUUUCACAGUUCACCACUUUCUUGUCUCUUGAUUUGUCUUUCUUUGUGUCGUCCGGGUUUGAGUUUUGCCAGGUUAGGCCGUCAUUGUAAAUAAGAAUUUGUUCUUAACUGACUUGCCUAGUUAAAUAAAUAUUAAAUAAAUAAAUACAAAUAAAUACUAUUGGUAUCUA